AGUGAACGCUGGCGGUAGGCCUAACACAUGCAAGUCGAACGGCAGCACAGGAGAGCUUGCUCUCUGGGUGGCGAGUGGCGGACGGGUGAGGAAUACAUCGGAAUCUACUCUGUCGUGGGGGAUAACGUAGGGAAACCUACGCUAAUACCGCAUACGACCUACGGGUGAAAGCAGGGGAUCUUCGGACCUUGCGCGAUUGAAUGAGCGGAUGUCGGAUUAGCUAGUUGGCGGGGGAAAGGCCCACCAAGGCGCCGAUCCGUAGCUGGUCUGAGAGGACGAUCAGCCACACUGGAACUGAGACACGGUCCAGACUCCUACGGGAGGCAGCAGUGGGGAAUAUUGGACAAUGGGCGCAAGCCUGAUCCAGCCAUACCGCGUGGGUGAAGAAGGCCUUCGGGUUGUAAAGCCCUUUUGUUGGGAAAGAAAUCCAGCUGGCUAAUACCCGGUUGGGAUGACGGUACCCAAAGAAUAAGCACCGGCUAACUUCGUGCCAGCCGCCGCCGUAA
rnacentral:rRNA from 1 species